GUGCAGACCCUCACUGUGGG
rnacentral:misc_RNA from 1 species